rnacentral:rRNA from 1 species
UAUCUUUUGGGCCGACCUCAGAGCAGGUGAGCC